rnacentral:tRNA from 2 species
GGGUCGGCUCGCCUAUUAGGGUGGGCAGCGGUCUGUAAAAUCGUCCUUUUUUGGUUGCAGGUGCAAAUCCUGCCCGACCCA